UUUCGCAAUGCCCGAAAGGGUGGCGAAGCGACGCCGCGUGUGGGAAGAAGGCCUUCGGGUUGUAAACCACUGUCGGGAGUUAAGAAAUACAAGGAUAUUAAUAGUGUCUUUGUUUGACUAAGGCUCCGGAGGAAGCCACGGCUAACUCUGUGCCAGCAGCCGCGGUAAUACAGAGGCGGCAAGCGUUGUUCGGAAUUAUUGGGCGUAAAGAGCACGUAGGCGGCUAUGUAAGUCGGUUGUGAAAGCCUUCCGCUCAACGGAAGAACAGCAUCCGAUACUACAUGGCUUGAGUGCGGGAGGGGAGAGUGGAACUUCUGGUGGAGCGGUGAAAUGCGUAGAUAUCAGAAGGAACGCCGGCGGCGAGAGCGGCUCUCUGGCCCAUAACUGACGCUGAGUGUGCGAAAGCUAGGGGAGCAAACGGGAUUAGAUACCCCGGUAGUCCUAGCCGUAAACGAUGGGCACUAAGUAGAGGGGUUUU
rnacentral:rRNA from 1 species